GUGGCUCACUUGGUCUUGAGGAAUGGAAAUACAGGGCUUGGCCAUAGCAUACGGCUGUGUCACAGAAGACAGAAAGCAGAUGCAAUUCUAAGAGGUCAUCAAACACAUUUCAUUUUCCUGCCUCGUACUAGGCCAAGCUGUGCUUUCCUGGCACUGUGGCUCAUGAAAUGUGGGCCACAAUGAUGUGCAGCCCCUCCUGUGUCUGAUUCUCAGCAGUCUCUGUCUCUUCCUGUUCCAUGGUGACCUUGGAAGCCACAUGCUAAAAGCCACAGCACUACGAGAUAGCAGCCUAUACAGGAGCUGCCCAUGAACUCUCAAGAGGCUGCGUGCAGUAGACCUAGGAAGACCACAGUCACCAUGAUCACAUGGCCAGCACAGAGACAUCUCAUUAAAGAUGCUCAAGAAGAAUUCCAGCAUGGAUGAUGGACCCCAAAAGAUGGACCACUGUUUGAAGAACCAUUGGCUUUCUCUCAACUCAUGCCUACUUCUCAGAAGCUGUACAUAAGGCAGUUAACUAUCUAGCAUUAAAAGAAAACUUAAACAUUGGGAGUUGUGUUGAUGAAAACUACUCUAUAGUUUAAAGUUUGA
rnacentral:lncRNA from 1 species